rnacentral:rRNA from 1 species
CCUACGGGAGGCAGCAGUAGGGAAUAUUGCUCAAUGGGGGAAACCCUGAUGCAGCGACGCCGCGUGGAGGAUGAAGGUCUUCGGAUUGUAAAGUCCUGUUGUUAGGGAAGAUAAUGACGGUAUCUAACGAAUAAGCACCGGCUAAAUCCGUGCCAGCAGCCGCGGUAAUACGGGGUGUGCAAGCGUUAAGCGGAAUAACUGGGGGGAGAGGGGGCGUGGGCGGGGUGGCAAGCCCGGUGUGAAAUCCCAUGGCUUAACCCCAGGAUCGCAUUUGAAACUGGUAUUCUAGAGUAAGGGAGUGGUAGGUGGAAUUCCUGGUGGAGGGGGAAAAUGCGUAGAGAUAAGGAGGAAUAC